AAACUUUCAACAACGGAUCUCUUGGUUCUGGCAUCGAUGAAGAACGCAGCGAAAUGCGAUAAGUAAUGUGAAUUGCAGAAUUCAGUGAAUCAUCGAAUCUUUGAACGCACAUUGCGCCCAGUGGUAUUCCACUGGGCAUGCCUGUUCGAGCGUCAUU
rnacentral:rRNA from 1 species